AUACAUCGCUUUGUUAUCUUUUACAAACUCUCCCUAGUUAACCACUUGCCAUGUGAUUGUUCCUAAAUAUUUCAGAGAAAAAUGAGACAUAAAAGGGUUUGUCCAGAAACAGAAGCUUUGCAUUUCACUUCUUCUGGGAGGGAUAAAGACACAUUUUACAAAAGAUUCAUCAACAAGGAGAAAGAAAUGACUGACACUCACCUGAGUCACAUUCCAGAGGAAUUAUGCAUUGGUGAAAUGAUCCAGUCAGAGCAGAAAAAUGUUCCAGGAGAACAAACAGAACAACACCAUGAAGUAAAAAACCAAGGACAAGAUACA